AUUGAACGCUGGCGGCAGGCCUAACACAUGCAAGUCGAACGGCAGCACAGGAGAGCUUGCUCUUUGGGUGGCGAGUGGCGGACGGGUGAGUAAUGUCUGGGAAACUGCCCGAUGGAGGGGGAUAACUACUGGAAACGGUAGCUAAUACCGCAUAACGUCGCGAGACCAAAGUGGGGGACCUUCGGGCCUCACACCAUCGGAUGUGCCCAGAUGGGAUUAGCUAGUAGGUGGGGUAAUGGCUCACCUAGGCGACGAUCCCUAGCUGGUCUGAGAUGAUGACCAGCCACACUGGAACUGGGACACGGUCCAGACUCCUACGGGAGGCAGCAGUGGGGAAUAUUGCACAAUGGGCGCAAGCCUGAUGCAGCCAUGCCGCGUGUAUGAAGAAGGCCUUCGGGUUGUAAAGUACUUUCAGCGGGGAGGAAGGCGGUGAGGUUAAUAACCUCGCCGAUUGACGUUACCCGCAGAAGAAGCACCGGCUAACUCCGUGCCAGCCGCCGCAGUAA
rnacentral:rRNA from 1 species